rnacentral:misc_RNA from 1 species
UGUGCUGCUGCACUAAUGGCC